rnacentral:rRNA from 1 species
UACGUAGGGAGCAAGCGUUGUCCGGAAUCAUUGGGCGUAAAGCGCGCGUAGGUGGCCCGGUAAGUCCGCUCUGAAAGUCACAGGCUCAACCUGCGAAAGCGGGUGGAUACUGCCGGGCUAGAGUCCGGAAGAGGCGAGUGGAAUUCCUGGUGUAGCGGUGGAAUGCGCAGAUAUCAGGAGGAACACCAAUGGCGAAGGCAGCACUCUGGGACGUGACUGACGCUGAGACGCGAAAGCGUGGGGAGCAAACAGG